GUUGCACACCUGUGGAUGGUGGGGUUGGAAGCCACAAAACCAUCCCUAAGGUGCUUUUGACCGCCACCCCACCCCACCCCGGCUUAAGUUUCAAAGCUUGUAUAAGCCCCCACUCUCUGCUUUAUCAGGUGUGCGGGCAACUGGCCAGUUAAAUAGCUAGGAAUUCAUCCAUGGCUCCUCUGUCAUGCAGGGAGGGAACUUAAAGAGGGGGAGCAGCUGCCAACCCUGCUUGUGUCCACCAGCCUGUUGCCUCUCCAAAACAAGAGGCUGUGGAGUGGAAGGCAAAGUAGCUCUCUUGCAGGCUUCCUUUGGCUGCAGGCAGCUAGAAGUCAGGGGCAGCUGGAAAAUACCCACACAGUAAGUACUGGGUUUUUUGUUUUUGUUUUUGUUUUUGUUUUUGUGUCUUGUGUGGUUGGGUGGAGCCAACAGACCCCAGUGUGCUUAUGCAGUAUAAGCUCUUCUAGAAAUAAAACAGUGAGUUGGGAAACCCCCACAAUGGUCACUGUUGAAGCUUAGGAAUAUCCAAGAAAUAUGCCCAUCUUAUCGUUGGAGGCCUACAUCCAGACAGGGGUUCUUAUUAAGUUGGUGACCAGCUAGAUGCUGGGCUCAUUGAGUACAUCAAGGCACCUUCUGGGACCACCCAGAACCUGUAGAAGCCCUGUGCUCAGGUCCUGUUUAUUCUUCCACCUCUUGUUCUGUGUGCCUUCUGGCCCUUAUUCUGCCUCUGGGUGGGUGACAGGUACUGUUCAGCCUGUUA